UAAGACCUUGCGCUUUUGGAGCGGCCGAUGUCUGAUUAGCUAGUUGGUGGGGUAAUGGCCUACCUAAGCUUCGAUCAGUAGCUGGUCUGAGAGGACGGCCAGCCACACUGGGACUGAGACACGGCCCAGACUCCUACGGGAGGCAGCAGUGGGGAAUUUUGGACAAUGGGCGCAAGCCUGAUCCAGCCAUGUCGCGUGAGUGAAGAAGGCCUUCGGGUUGUAAAGCUCUUUCAGCCGGGAAGAAAAGGCUGCGACUAAUAAUCACAGUUCAUGACGGUACCGGAAGAAGAAGCACCGGCUAACUACGUGCCAGCAGCCGCGGUAAUACGUAGGGUGCGAGCGUUAAUCGGAAUUACUGGGCGUAAAGGGUGCGCAGGCGGUUUUGUAAGUCAGAUGUGAAAUCCCCGGGCUUAACCUGGGAACU
rnacentral:rRNA from 1 species